CACCCUUCUACGUUCAUUCCAAUAGCAAGUGCUCUGGUUCAGCAACGUAUCUAGGACGAAACUCCACGGCGCCGGAAAGAAACUCGCGCCCACAACCGAAAAUCCCAACGAAAAUUUACAAAAUUGAAUCCGUCCUCGACGAAAAAUGAUAAAAUCCAUAUGGAAAUUCAAGGUCCAACCCAAUUCAGAAUCGAAAUCGAGAUCAUUAGCGUGGCGGAAUAAAGAGAUUGAAGGAGGAAGAACGACCUACCGGUGCUUCUAACACGGUGUCUCCGAGUAAUUUAUCUUUGAUCUUCUUCGAUUGCUUCCGUUAAGUGUUGUUUCUGUUCUUCAACUCCUCGUUGUUUGAUUCAGCCUGAGACGAGGUCGUGGUUCAUAUGUGGUAUCGCGUCGUGGGCGAUUAGAUCCGUUGUUGUCGUUGACGUCGAAUUGAGAUGAAGACCGAGCGCCACAUUCGCGCUGUGAUGAAGAUUGAAGAUGGAGCUUUGUUCGUGUGUUGCGUCUCAUUGUCUAUUGAAGAUGACGGAUUGUUUUGUUCGAAUCGUGAGUCUUCCUUGAUUUCUCUGUUUCUAUAAGCUUUCUUUCUUUCCCUCCAUCUGCUUUUUGUGAAUUCGAGCCACUUUUGUGAAUUCCUCUAAAGUUAUGUUUUUGAAGAAUGAUGAGAGGUUUUCGAGAAUCUGGUUCAGUUUUGAAGGUUUGUGAAAGAGGUUCUAAGGGUUGUCAAGAUCGUUGAAGGGUGCAGAAGGUUUUUGGUUCUGCAGGGUUGAAGGUUGAGUGUGACAGAAGCGUGGAUUGGAGAGUUGGUUAUUGAAUAUUGAAGGUGGAAAGUUUCGGUUGUUGAAGAUUGGAAGAGGAAGAGAAAUUGUGUUUUGGCUAUUGUGAAUUUGUUAGGAGGUGGUGAUUUUUGGAGAUUCUGUCAUGUUGUUCCUGCAAUUUCAUGGCCCAAGUUGUUAUUAAGGGUUAGGAUUGGUGGAGGCUGAAAUGUGAUUGAAGGUUGGUUGCAGAUUUUGUUAUGAGUUGGUUACCACAGUUGGUGAAUGGAAGUUAGGAGUUGGAUUUUCGGUUUUUUGUGAUGACAGUUGAGAGGUCUUUUUUGGGGUCGUGAAGAGAGUCCUGUGGAGGGUGAUUUGAGGAGUUUUUAUCCAGUUCAAGUUGAUGUCGUUGGAGGUUUUUGAUGUCGGCAAUUGGCCAUUUUGUUGGUUGGUUCAUCUUUGAAGGGUAGAGAGGAGGUUACUGUUCUGUUUUCUUUUCAAUGUCGUUUCCGGUUGGGUUCUGUUGCAUUGUUGCUGACUUGCUGUUGUAGGAUAUGAAUAUAUUUCCUGUUACGUGAAUCCUUUCAUGGUGGAUUGUUGUGUGGACUAAUAACCCUGCUGCUAUUUGUUUUGAUAUUGUUAGGAAUGUAUGGUUACUGCGAUCAAAGGGUUUUUGUGACAGAAGGUGUUGGUUUGAAGGAUGUGGAAUUUUCUCUCAUUCCGUUGUUCCAAGUUAGAAUUAGGUGUUGAAAGGUCCAGUGGGAUGGUUUUGAGUUUAGUUUUUUUCGUUAGAAUUCUGUUGUAAAUUCUGUUACGGAAGUUUCCAUUCGGUUAUCAGUUGGAGGUUAGAAUGGUUGAGAGAUUAUUGCGGGUUGUAAUCGGUUUUUGGGAAGUUGGUAGGAAAAAUUGGAGGGUAAAGUUACGCAGAUUUUUUAAAGGUUUUGGUAUCUGUUUUUUGGAAGUUGGUAGGAAAAAUUGGAGGGUAAAGUUAGGCAUAUUUUUUAAAGGUUUUGGUAUCUGUUUUUUUCCGGUUGCAAGGUCAUUGGUUUUAAUUCGGUUGAGUGAAGAAUGAUCUAGGGUCUCCUUUGGCGAAAACCAUCUCAACCAAGUCAAUAGUAACCUGGAAGAAAGGCCAUUGAUUGUACAUAUCUUGAAGCAUUUGGAGAUUCUUUAGAUCUUUCUCAAUCGCAUGUUUGAAUGCUUCUCCAAAGCCAAGCCAUACUAGUAAAUGGAAUCUUGAUUGUGUCCAAGCGAAAAUCCAACUGUCUCUUUUCUUUCAUUUUAUUUAAUAAUCCUCUGGGAAAUAGAUAUACUAGAAGGUAUGAAUGAAUACCACCAUCAUGUAAGACAAGUCAGUGAAUUUUAUCUUUUGAUAGUGGUUUGUAGUUUGUAUUGCAAUGGAUAAUGAUCAUUGGAUAUGUAAAAUGGGUUAUUAUGCAUUAAUGGAUAAUUAUUGGAUAUA